rnacentral:rRNA from 1 species
UAAGGGCGCACGGUGGAUGCCUUGGCACUAGGAGCCGAUGAAGGACGGGACUAACACCGAUAUGCUUUGGGGAGCUGUACGUAAGCUAUGAUCCAGAGAUUUCCGAAUGGGGGAACCCAACAUCUUUAAUAGGAUGUUACGAUUGUGUGAAUACAUAGCACAUUCGAGGUAGACGCAGAGAACUGAAACAUCUAAGUACCUGCAGGAAGAGAAAGAAAAUUCGAUUCCCUGAGUAGCGGCGAGCGAAACGGGAAAAGCCCAAACCAGCAAGCUUGCUUGUUGGGGUUGUAGGACUCCAAUAUGGUAGUUCUUUCAGAUAGUCGAAUGACUUGGAAAAGUCAGUCAAAGAGGGUAAAAACCCCGUAGACGAAAUGUGGAAGACACCUAGGAGGAUCCUGAGUACGGCGGAACACGAGAAAUUCCGUCGGAAUCCGGGAGGACCAUCUCCCAAGGCUAAAUACUCCCUAGUGACCGAUAGUGAACCAGUACCGUGAGGGAAAGGUGAAAAGCACCCCGGAAGGGGAGUGAAAUAGAACCUGAAACCGUGUGCCUACAACAAGUCAAAGCCCGUUAAUGGGUGAUGGCGUGCCUUUUGUAGAAUGAACCGGCGAGUUACGAUUGCAUGCGAGGUUAAGUUGAAGAGACGGAGCCGCAGCGAAAGCGAGUCUGAAUAGGGCGUUUGAGUAUGUAGUCGUAGACCCGAAACCAUGUGAUCUA